GCAGAUUCAGAUGAAAUUUUGGCAAGCUUCCCUCUUUCAACUUGGAGCCAUGACUGAGGAUUAAUUGAUUUCAGAUGUGUUUCUUUACAAGACUCUGAAGGGAAAAAAGUUCUCAUGGGACAUAACAGAUUAAGCAAGUCCCAGAUCUCCACAGUAGCCACAAGGGUUCUACCCGACAAUCAAAAACUUAAACAGCAAACCAAAAUAAUACAACAGCUCUCUCACACUCAGAAUCACAAGACUCUGAACUUGUUGAGAUCAAAAAAUAAGCACUAAAGCUCCCCCUAUGUACGAGGUCCGGGUAAGGACCUGAUUUUGUUA
rnacentral:misc_RNA from 1 species